GGGGAAAUCAAAAUUUCCAAGAACUUAUAAUACUUAGUUAUGCGUUCCUUCUAGAACACAAUAUGAAUUCGAACUUAGAAGUACAGUAUGAACAUUUCUCGCUUUCCCGAGCGACGAAAAGAAAAGGGCGCGAUAAGAAAUAAACUUCGAGAAAAGCAAUCCAACAUAGAACAAAACGAUGUUUCUAGAAAGAUGGUAGGGGUUAGAUGCCAUUCUCUACGUCCCAAUGACAUGAAUAAUCUGGGUUAACCAUUGUCUUUCCUGACAAUCCACACUCCAAAGGAUCAUGCUUUUGAUCCAACUAAGCAAUGUACACAUACAUAGCAAGGGAAUAUUAUUACAAUGUAAACAAAGAACCUAGCUUUACAAUAAUAAGUAAACAGAAACGGCGUGUUACGAGGAUGAGCGUUAUGACGAACCAAGAGUACCAAAGAGUCAUAAUCCCCACAUAUGGUCAUCUGACGUGAUCGUAAAGUAAAAAGUAGCUUGUGACCAAAGUUUCUCAUAACUCAUUUACCAUUCUCUAUAAAGAGUUAAACAAGGGGAUAUCACCAUUGUAGUUAACCAAGAAGAUUCAUCAGCAACGCUUACUUGGGUUCCCAUGAAUUUCAUUUUCUCGCAUCCCCCGUGAUCAAAAUACUUUUGUUGCAUUAAGACCUUAAAUGACUCCUUUUGCAAGGUAAUGUGCAAUUAUUUUUCCUCUUCUAUGUCAAGGUCGUGAAGCACUUUCAGUUGUGUGCUUGCUCCCUCAUGUCUUCAGUUUCUACUCGUUCUAUGAAGAAGCAAUAUUUUGACUCACUGAUUUCCUGCUACCAAACUCCUAUGCUAGAAGUUGAUUUGGUUAUGGUCUUCAGAACGAUCAUGCUUCUUAAGCAAUUGUCUCUUCAAUGAUAAUAUAUUCUUCAAAGAUCAUUAGUAUACCUUUAGUUUAUUUUUCAAAUAUGCUUGCUGACACUCAUUAAUUUGUAAAGAAUAGUCACCUCUUCUUAAUCCCACUAUAAUUAUUCCAUCCUGCUUUGAGCUCUUUAGCAACUUCAAGUCCAAAGUAAUUUGCUCUCUUCCAAAACUAGUUUGCUCUGGUUGUCUUCUCUACCAGUUAAUUUCCGUGAUUUGGUUAUAAACUUAGUGAAUUCGUUAACGUGAUAUAGUAUCACGAAAUUGUUGACCCAAAAGGGUAGUUGCUUGUUAUUCCUCUUCUCAAAUCCACUUGAGACCAAUCAUUUUCAGUCUCAUUAUAUUUGAGCAGCCAUCUGGUGAGACCUUAAACCUUUAAUUUGACCCUUUGUGUUUUCAGACAUACCUAUUGACAAGCGCUUUAUUUUACCUGAGUACUCUCAUCUUCUAAAUUUAAAUAUGACUGUUGUCUCUUGAUUUGAGCUUUUCUGCAGCUCCAUAUUUAAAGCUGGCAUAUUGCUUCGCCCUUGCUAGUUUCCUCUUGUUGCCCUCUUUAUUAGUCAGUUUCCCUAAACUGCUUAUAAACUCUAAAAAAAAAAUUCGUUGAUACGAUCUUCUAUCACAGUGUUGUUGAGCAAAUUGCAAUUGUUUGUUUUUCCUAUUCUUUUCAAAUCCAUUUGUAACCAACCAUCUCAGGUCUUCCUGUUAUCAUCUGGGGAUUCUUGAAUCUUUUCUACUUCACUGUUAAUUUUGAUUAUAUUAUUGGCAACUUAUUGUUGACAUCUACAUUCUAUUCAUCAUACCCUCACUUUCGCGAUUUAUUCCAUCUGGCUCUUCCCACAAUAAAAUUUCCAAGCUCUAUGGGUAUAGCCCUUUGAAGUUGUAUCUUUUCUUUUCUGGGAGUGAGCAUAAUGAGCCCAAUUGAGCCUAGUUUUUGCACUUCAUGAAAAUCUUUGUUGCAAGUUACUGGUGAGAGUUUGUGGUGAACCAAACACUCACGUAAUCGAAAUAAUUAUAAUCGUUUUAUUUUCAUGACUAUCUUGGAGCGUACACAAAGCAAGGACGAUUCGAAUAUUUCUCUUGGAAUCCCAAAUCCAGUUCCUAUCAAAGUUAAAACUGUUAGACCACCUCUAAAUUUCCUUGCGUGAGACCCUCAUGGGAGGCAAGACAUUGACCACUGCAAAAAAAAAAAAAAAACCACGGACAUGAAAAGGCAAAGUGGGAGCAAGCAGAGAAAAUGAAGGAGCAAUAUCCCAAGGUUUUUGUCUAAAUACUUCCUAAAUUUCGGGACGAAAUUUCUUUUAAGGAGGGUAGAAUGUAACAACCCAGAAUUUUAUAAGGGGUUUUUUUUUUACGAGAUCAAAUAAAAGCACGGUGCAGCUGAUAUUGAGAUUUUUCAAGGCAACACUAAAGUUUUAAAGAAUCUUACGUCAAGUGAGGAGAAUCUAGACAAGGCAACUUAUAACUUUUGUGCGUUAUUUAGCAAUUAUUUUCGAUGAAUAUCCACAGAAUAAAUCCAAAAUAAAAGUUGUUAAUGUCCGGCAUAUCCAUCGGAAGUUCGAAAAAGUCUUAUGAUACCAAUUUAUCGAAUCCUGAUCUAAAUCAAUUGGGGAGAAAUGUGCGAGUGCCAAAUAACCAAUUCGAUGGUUGUAGUAUCUUUCCAAGGAAGCCCGAUGUAUCACUCAUGUUCCCUACAUAAAGAAAGAAAAGAAAAAAAAAGUGAUUUAAGGAAAUAGAAAAAAGAAAUUGGAAAAUUGAAGGAGAUUUUUAUCCAUUUCUCUCCCAUUUACGGGAACCAUCUACACACUUUCAACUCCCACUUCUACACCGCCACACACAUACACACACUAAAUAUCUCUCCCUCUAUAAUUCUCUAUGAACAUCUCGCCACUCUCUUUCUAAACACACACAAAUACACGUAAUGUUGGGAAGGAGAUGGACUCCCCCAAGACCGCCAUCUACUGCUCCUCCGGCUACGAGCUCUUUCCCUACUAACUUCUUUUUCCACCGAUUCUCAAUUCGAAGAAUUCAGAGGCGGCGUCCUUUCUCCUCUGGCGGAUUCGCCACCAUCUCGUCGGAAAUCCGGGGUCCCGUCGGUGCGUGUUUCUCCUCUCCAAAGGCUAUCUCUGUGAGUCAAGGGUGGAGUCAGGAAAAUUCAAGUUAAAGAGUUUUAAGCGAACAAGGUAAGAACUGAAAGAAACCUAAAAAAAUCAAACUUGUCAAUAUCGGUGAGGAGGGUAUAAUUGGAAAAACUGACGCUAAAAUUGAAGGUGUUUUGCUGUGUGUGGGGCUCACAGGGAUCAAUCCUCUUCCGUUUAGAUUUCCCGGCACUUUUCCGACUUCCAUUGGUGGAGACGGCGGCGAAGGGAGGGGAGUAUGAGGCUAGUCCGGUUUUGAGCCCGUCAUGGGUUUGGAUUAUCAAUUGUGCUGGAUGUGAGUUGGAUUGGAGAAUCAAGCUUAAUCAUAAUGCACUCUAGGUGUUUGGUGAUAUUUCCCAGUUGGGAAUUAGUUGCAAGGAGUUAGUUCAAGAUUUAGCUAUCUCCCUUUUUUAAUGUCAACUACGCACGUAUAAUUUCAAAUAUAUAUAUAAUCUAUAUCAACUA